GCACUAGUAGCUCAGCUUUAGAGCGCCGGUCUUGUAAACCGGACGCCAGGGGUUAAAAUCCCCUCUACUGCU
rnacentral:tRNA from 1 species